CCUACGGGUGGCAGCAGUGGGGAAUAUUGGACAAUGGGCGAAAGCCUGAUCCAGCCAUGCCGCGUGUGUGAAGAAGGCCUUCGGGUUGUAAAGCACUUUCAGUGGGGAAGAAAGCCUUGGGGCUAAUACCCUCGAGGAAGGACAUCACCCACAGAAGAAGCACCGGCUAACUCCGUGCCAGCAGCCGCGGUAAUACGGAGGGUGCGAGCGUUAAUCGGAAUUACUGGGCGUAAAGCGCGCGUAGGCGGUCUGAUAAGCCGGUUGUGAAAGCCCCGGGCUCAACCUGGGAACGGCAUCCGGAACUGUCAGGCUAGAGUGCAGGAGAGGAAGGUAGAAUUCCCGGUGUAGCGGUGAGAUGCGUAGAGAUCGGGAGGAAUACCAGUGGCGAAGGCGGUCUUCUGGACUGACACUGACGCUGAGGUGCGAAAGCGUGGGUAGCAAACAGGAUUAGAUACCCCAGUAGUC
rnacentral:rRNA from 1 species